rnacentral:rRNA from 1 species
UACGUAGGGGGCAAGCGUUGUCCGGAAUCAUUGGGCGUAAAGAGCGUGUAGGCGGUCCGGUAAGUCGGCUGUGAAAGUCCAGGGCUCAACCCUGGGAUGCCGGUCGAUACUGCCGGACUAGAGUUCGGAAGAGGCGAGUGGAAUUCCCGGUGUAGCGGUGAAAUGCGCAGAUAUCGGGAGGAACACCUAUGGCGAAGGCAGCUCGCUGGGACGUUACUGACGCUGAGACGCGAAAGCGUGGGUGGCAAACAGG